rnacentral:rRNA from 1 species
GCCUAACACAUGCAAGUCGAACGGAACUAAUUUGACUGAUUCCUUCGGGAUGAAGAAUUUUUAGUUUAGUGGCGGACGGGUGAGUAACGCGUGAGUAACCUGCCUCUGAGAGGGGAAUAACGUUCUGAAAAGAACGCUAAUACCGCAUAACACAUAUAUGCCGCAUGACAGAUAUGUCAAAGAUUUUAUCGCUCGGAGAUGGACUCGCGUCCGAUUAGUUAGUUGGUGAGGUAACGGCUCACCAAGACCGCGAUCGGUAGCCGGACUGAGAGGUUGAACGGCCACAUUGGGACUGGGACACGGCCCAGACUCCUACGGGAGGCAGCAGUGGGGGAUAUUGCGCAAUGGGGGCAACCCUGACGCAGCAACGCCGCGUGAAGGAUGAAGGUUUUCGGAUUGUAAACUUCUUUUAUCAGGGAAGAUGAUGACGGUACCUGACUAAGAAGCACCGGCUAAAUACGUGCCAGCCGCCGCCGUAACAC